GUAAGGAAGGGCAUACUAAAGAUCAGAGAGGCAUAUGGUAGCCACUGAUCAGAAGACACAGCACAAUAAAAAGACCUCCCCUAUGCUUAUUUCAAUUUUUGUCAGAAAUCUCCCCGAGCCUUUAAAUUCCAAGCCAUUCAUAAUUUGGAUAGAAAAGCAAAGGUUCAAGAACCGACCAAACAAUUGUACAAAAAAAAAAAAAAAAAAAAAAAAAAAAAAAAAAAAAAAAAAAAAAGAAAGAAAAUAGAAUUAUCCACAUGAUGCUACUCAUCAAGAGGGAAUGGUCCCCCACAGAGGGAAAAACAAGCGAUAACUGAAUAAAACAGAUGAGAAAAUGUCCUCCACAGGAGUAAUAGGUCUAAUAAGUUUUGGAGGGAACAGCUUUCCCCAAAAUAGUGUUGGAAAAAUUGAACAUGCACGUUACUGCAGGAAUUUUUGACCGUCAUACCAAAACCAAAACAAGACCUUACAGACAGGUCAUAGAUGUAAAUCUAAAAUAUGGAGCUACAUGUUAUCAGUUAAAAAAGAAGAAAAACAACAACAUAAACUAAGCAAAAGUGGACUCACUUGUGGGGGAAAUCUCCCCUAGCUAUUUGAUUGGCUGAUAAAGACGACAGGAAGCCAAUCACUGGGCAAAGAUAUGGAGGCAGGGUCUUCCGGCAGAACAGGAAAAGAAGGGGAAAGCACAGAGAGAGACUGGAGAUGGGAGAAAAAAGGUGGAACCUGUAGGAGAGGAUGAUGAGCCAGAACCACGUGGCCUUAGGAUCCAUAAGUAACUGGGGAUUUCUUAGACAGACAAUUAAAUAACAUGGGAUACAGUUGUCCAAUCUAGGUAUACAGCUUAUAUCAAUUGAGUUUUUUGUGGGGGCGUUUUGGGGGACGGGGGUUGAGGAUUUGCUAAUAUAAAUCUGGCUGGUAAAUUACAUGCCUCUGGAGUUUUCAUUUUACAGGGCUAGGAGAUUAGCGCUAGCAACAGCCAGUUUUGAUAGGCUAGCCACAGGGGCAGAUGACUUGGAAAGUGCGGAGCAGUUCUGCAACAGCUGACUGCAGAAACCUCGACAGACCACCGCUUGGGGAUCCCCAGGGGGUGGGGAGACGAUUAUUUUUUAUAACUACACGCUACCCUCACUUUACCCACUGAUCUUAGCUAUAGUUUUGCAGAGUGAUACAUACAUACAUACCUUGGCCAACGAUCUGCCUAGUCUGCAGCCUAUGACAAGGCCUUUUGAGAGACUGCCAGGUGCUGCUUAGCGAAUCCAUCAGUUUCCAUACCCAUCUGUCCAUCUGUGUUCUUUCCUGUCAAGAGGAUCCUGUACGAUCAUGCUGAGUUUGCAGUGAGGGUGGCCAUGAGAGAGCCAACUUCUCUUGCAAUUAGCAAUUUAGGAAGUUUUAUAAUGGCCAGGCAAUGCACAGGUCCAGUUCAACUAACCUAUCAGGAUGUCUACUAGAUAGAAAAUAUUCAACAAAGGCCUAGUGAUAUAAUGGUGAAUAACACCUAAACAGCCUCAUAAUUUUGUAAGGAAAAUGUACAUGGAAACCCCAGUAGUGAGUGCAUGAAGGACAGUGGAGCAUGAAGGAGAAGAAGAGUCCAAACUCACCAUUUCCUCACGACUCCAACCAGCAGCAACUGGCCCAUGACCGCAGACACAGCCUUAUUCUACUCAUGAAAACAGACCCACCACAGCUUCAUCCUUUCCGAAGUUUCUGUCUGUUCAUUGCAUUGCAUUUAGACCUAAGUUUCUAACCUAACACAUAAAAUUGAGGCCAUGUCUUUAAAUCAGAGUGAUUGGACUUAUGGCUUUGCAAAUAAUGGUGUCUGGACAGCUUUUAAUCCCCUGCAUAUAAGAAAGCUGUCAGGUUGUAUACUGGGCUAUGGGUCAUAUGGUUCUGUCAUUGAGACUAUCCUGGACUGGUGAGCAAGAGACAUCAGGCUAGCACAGCCCCUGGAAGCAUCUAUGCCCUUGGUCUGCAGCAGUGAUGAUGUGUGUCCUGCUCCUUAGCAGGUGCUUCAUAAGCUUUUACCCAGUUUCCUAGGAGGAAGCCUAGUGAAACUCAGCAGGUCACACAAGAAAAGCUUGAGAGUGGGAGGGAAACCAGCUGGGAAGCACAUGAACUCUGUGGAGGGGAAGAGAGAGAAGAGAGGAUCAUGGGUGACCAGUGUGGACAGACUGCCAUAUACACAGGUAUGAACAUCUAUUAUGAAUACCAUGCUAUUAUUACUAAAAGUAUCAUAUAUUAUAGUAAAAAGAGUUGCAACAGAAAAUUAACUUUUUUUUUUUAAGUUUUUUUUGAGCCAGGAUCUCACUACAUAGCCAUUGUCUCAGAACUCACUAUAAAGACCAGGCUGACCUUGAACUCACAGGCAUCCUCCUGCUUCUGCCUCCCGAGUGCUGGGAGUAAAGGUAUUUGCCACCACACCCUGCAUAAAAAUAACCAAUUUUAAGUGAGUGAUUUAUUCAGCACAUGUUAGAUGUGUACACCACUGCUGAUCUAUUUAAAGAAAACAUGUGUGACUGCACCACAAAAUGUAGAGGAGUGGAUCUGGUGCUUUGAUUUAAUCAGGUAUCUGUGUUUACUAACCUCGAAGGUCCUUGCCCCCAGUUGGUUUUUGAUCUAUCAAUAAAGAUGCAAGAGGCCAAUGAUUGGGUGGAAAGAAAGAGGCGGGACUAACAGGUUCCCACAGGCGUGGAGAGGGAGGAAGAAUCAAGAUACUUGGGAGAGAGAGCUGGAGCAGACUCAGAACUGUAGGGGAGAUCUUCCAAAAUGUAGGCAGAAAAGAAAAGCAGCCCACAGGAGGGCAGCCCAAAGGUGUCUUGGGCAGCAAGACCAAUGGGCUUCACAGAAGGUAGCCAGGCAACUGAGCUGAGGCUGCCUGGCUAAGGGCAUGUGAUGUUUUACUAGAGCAAAUACUUGACAGAACACGUGAUGUUUGGAAAGGGAUAAAUGAACCCCAACGGACAGUAGAGGACACUAUGGCUUUGGUUCACCUUGCCUUCUUCCCUGAUCAUCUCUUGUCAUGACUUCAUAGAGAGAAACGCACCAAAGAAAUUCUCCUGAUAUUCCAGAGGCUUCUUGCCACUUCCAAGAACUUAGGCAGAUUGGCUGAUCGAUCCAGAAGAAACCGUGAGUCCCUUCCAUGAACUACCAUUGCUGAUUCUUGUGAGCUCAACUGUUGAUAUCCAGAUAUGGAAGAUUGGAAUCGCCCACAAAGAACUUUACUAAACAGACUGGGGAGAUAUAACUGACCUGGAACACGUGAAGAUGCUCCAAAGAGACACUGCACCCCUUCUGUCAGAUACCGGGAAACAGAAGCAGAAACACCGGAAACAAUUGGAAUCCCUUUGGGAAUUUUCUGCAGGCAGAGGGCCAAGGAUGAAGCCUGGCACUGGCAGGAGGAGAAACUUGGCUCCCACAAAAGCCUCACAGAGUUCUGGUCACUGGUCAGAUCACCUCACAGGAGACAAUGGUGAAAAGGCUGUGGUGGCUCAGUGUGGGCCCAACCUCGCCUCAAUCAGGACUGCUUAGUUUUGCACACUUCUUGCUUUCUAUUGCAAAGGAACCCUCAUUCGAGGACCCUAAGUUGGAGUGGGUUGACCUUGGACCUAAUUAUUUGUUCCUCUUCCCAAAGUGCUGACUUAAAUUAUAUCUCCUUUUUCUGC
ensembl:lincRNA